AGAACCUGGGUCAACUCUCUGCACUCCCAUGACUGUUCACAACGGGGGAUAUGAUGGCCUUUUCUGACCUCCUAACAAACCUGCACACGUACAGAAUGAGAGACUGGAGAGACAGCUCAAUGUUUAAGAACACUUGCUGCUUUGCAAAGGACCUUGGUUCGACUUCCAGUAUCCACACAGCUCCGGCUCCAAGAGAUGUGAUGCUCUUCUGACCUCUGUGGACACCAGACAUUCACAUGGUGCACAUAUUCAAAAUAAAACUAUAAAAAAAUAUUUAGCUAAGUAAAAUUUAAAGAUUGGGGAAAAAAGUAAAUCUAGGCAAAAAGUUAUUACCCCACAAAGACUGCUCAAUGUUUCUUAAGCCUCUUCAGGGGAAUGGAAGGAACUAAGAUUUGCCGGAGUGAUGUGAAACAGGCAUUUGAAUAAACGGACAUAAGUGAACAUGCAGAGCCUUGGUUCCCAAGCCCACCACACCACUCUGUCCUGAGCAGUAUUCACUUAGUCCAUGUGUGCUCAGUCUGUGCUGCGUGUGUCUAGACAGUAUCUGCAUAUCCACACAAGGCACAGCACAUAAUGAUGCAAUUAGGUUAAGCAUUUCUCACUUUGACCAGAAACAUGGCUGUACUGGUUAGUUUUGUGUCAACUUGACACAGCUGGAGUUAUCACAGAGAAAGGACCUUCAGUUGAAGAAAUGCCUCCAUGAGAUCCAACUGUAAGGCAUUUUCUCAAUUAGUGAUCAAGGGGGAAAGGCCCCUUGUGGGUGGGACCAUCUCUGGACUGGCAGUCUUGGUUCUAUAAGAGAGCAGGCUGAGCAAGCCAGAAGAAGCAAGCUAGUAAGGAACAUCCCUCCAUGGCCUCUGCAUCAGCCCCUGCUUCCUGACCUGCUUGAGUUCCAGACCUGACUUCCUUUGGUGAUGAACAGCAGCAUGGAAGUGUAAGCCGAAUAAACCCUUUCCUCCCCAACUUGCUUCUUGGUCAUGAUGUUUGUGCAGGAAUAGAGACCCUGACUAAGACAAAUUGGUACCAGCAGAGUGGGGUAUUCCUGUGACAACCUGACCAUGUUUUGGGGAGGACUGUGGAAGGACUUUGGAACUUUGGGCUUGAAGAUCCAUCCGUUGUUAAGAGCUCUGUCGGAUGUUGUGUAGGAGCUUGGAAGAUAAUGUUGAGAACACUGCAGAAGAUGGAGGUCUGGUUUGUGAAAUUUCAGAGGGAAAAAUUAAAGACUCUUUUCAGGGCCAUUGCUGUUUUGAUUGUGAAGAUUCUGUAGUUCUGGUUAGCUGGGGCUGAAGAAUCAGUUGUGAUUAACAAGAUACCAGAACUACUGAGGCAAAAACUUUGCAUUACUGGGACUAUUGAUGCUGGUUGCCUGGAGCUAAGAAAUUAGCAGUGAUUAAAAAGAGACCAUCAUCAUUGAGGUGACAUCUUCUGGGAAGUGUUUUCUGAAAGCACAAAGAGGCUGUGUUCCAGAGAUGGCCAAGGUUGUACUCCUGCUGCAGCAGGACUUGGUAAUAUGUAAGGGUCACCCAGGUGGUACUGGUUUUGAAGGCAUGAAGGGGUCACGCAAAGCAGCUGAGGCUCGGCACUGUGAGAGGCCAUGGAAGGCCAUUGGUGAAGGUGUAG
rnacentral:lncRNA from 1 species